GUGAAUUUUAACAGCAACAGAGAAAAAAAAUCAAGACCAUGAUUUUGCAAAUAUAUUUGACAUGGCUUCUCUUUUCCAUGUUUGAAGAAUCCAGCGGGCAGAUUGUUAUCACUCAGACACCUGCUUCUGUGACGGUGCUUCCAGGAGAGACGGUCACCAUUCAGUGCAAGGCGUCCAGCUCAAUGAGUGAUGAUAUGAGCUUAUUUCUGUUUAAAUCAGGACAAAAGCCUAAGCUCCUCAUUCAUGAUGCAAACAACCGUUUCACUGGAGUCCCAGAUCGAUUCAGUGGUAGUUACAGUGGCACUGACUUCACAUUCACCAUUAGUGGGGUGCAGGUUGAAGAUGCAGGAGAAUACUAUUGUGGGCAAGAUAACAACUACCCUCUCACAGUGAUUCAGUUCGGUACAAAAACCUCUAUGGUGCCUCUGCACACACCAUGUAGUGUAAAGCAGAAGGAAGCAGCUGUAUACCUAUCAAUGUGGGUUGAAAGUAACCUUUAA